UCUCCGUUGGUGAACCAGCGGAGGGAUCAUUACAGAGUUGUAAAACUCCCAAACCCAUGUGAACAUACCUGUUGCCUCGGUGGCCUACCCGGUAGCUACCCUGUAGCUACCCUGUAGUCCGCCGACGGAACUUAAAACUCUGUUUCUAUAUGUAACUUCUGAGUAAAACCAUAAAUAAAUCAAAACUUUCAACAACGGAUCUCUUGGUUCUG
rnacentral:misc_RNA from 1 species